rnacentral:rRNA from 1 species
UACGGAGGGGGCUAGCGUUGUUCGGAAUUACUGGGCGUAAAGCGCACGUAGGCGGCUUUGUAAGUUAGAGGUGAAAGCCCGGGGCUCAACUCCGGAAUUGCCUUUAAGACUGCAUCGCUAGAAUUGUGGAGAGGUAAGUGGAAUUCCGAGUGUAGAGGUGAAAUUCGUAGAUAUUCGGAAGAACACCAGUGGCGAAGGCGACUUACUGGACACAUAUUGACGCUGAGGAGCGAAAGCAUGGGGAGCGAACAGG